ACAAAAGAAACACACAAAAACAGCUUAAUAAACAAGAAACUCCUAUCACCUUUGAAAUCCAGCUACACUCAAAUCCUCAGAGGGCACAGUGAGCACUGAGCUUCCUGGUGGAUCUGUUGAAUGCUGCAAAGCAGCCAGGUGUUGAGCCACAGCGUCCCAGCCUCGCUGCCCUCCCCACCUUUUCCCUCGGAGGCCCUUGCCUUCGGGGCAACAAGCAGGUUGGACUCGUCGCUCCGAAGUGCUAUGAGGUGGAAAGGGAGCCAUCUGGCUGUCCCAGCGAAGGAGGUGUGAGUCCUCUUAGGAAGAAACUGGAGGCUGGGUCCAGUGAACCAGGAAGGAGGAAGGCUUGAGAGUAAUGAUUCCCAGUACCAGGGAUUGAACCCAGGUCCUCGCACAUGCUAGACACCUGCUCUACCACUGAACUUCAUCCCCAGCCCUUUUUAUUUUUAUUUUGAGACGGUCUUGCUAGGUUGUCCAGGAUGGUCUUGAACAUGCCAUCUUCUUGCUUCAGACUUCUGAGUUGUUGGGAUUUCAGAUAAACAACAAGUAAUUUUUUAGUAUAAUGACAUUCCCAAAAGAAUCCAAGAAUGGACAAACAGAUGGCUGAGUCAGGAGCCUGGAGCAAAUAACUGUAGAAGAUUGGGGACAGAGACGUAUUAUGAAGUGUGAAGGUCUUUGUGUCACAUGUUAGCAUCCACCAGAAAACAUCUAUCAUGGAAAAUACCUACAACACGAAGUAGAAGAAAAUAACUUGGCAAGUUAAUGUCAACUAGCCUCUGUCCAGAGCCAUCUCAACACUGGAACCAUGGGAAUAAGAAUGUAGUCACCAUGGUGGCAGUGGUGGAGGUUAUGCCUGAGGAUGGCACUGUGGGCUGGCCAAAUCUGACCUAGCUACUGCCACUGUUACAACUGUAUCCAAUGCUGAGUCCCUGAUUUGGCAUCAUCCUGGAGGAAAAUAACCAGUCGCUUCUUGGUAAGUGGAUUAUAAUGGAUCC